GCCUGGGUGGCUCAGUUGGUUGAGCUUCUGACUUAGACUCAGGUCAUGAUCUCGUGGUUCGUGAGUUUGAGCCCCGUGUCGGGCU
rfam:Felis catus isolate Cinnamon breed Abyssinian chromosome E3, whole genome shotgun sequence.